UUAAGGAAUUGACGGGGCCCGCGACAAGCGGUGGGCAUGUGGUUAAUUCGAUGAUACGCGAAGAACCUUACCGGGGUUGACAUGCAGGUGAUCGCCGUUGAAAGACGGUUUCCUCUUCGGAGGCACCUGCACAGGUGCUGCAUGGCUGUCGUCAGCUCGUGUCGUGAGAUGUUGGGUUAAGUCCCGCAACGAGCGCAACCCUUGCCAUUAGUUGCUACGAAAGGGCACUCUAAUGGGACUGCCGGUGACGAACCGGAGGAAGGUGGGGAUGACGUCAAGUCCUCAUGGCCCUUAUAGGUGGGGCUACACACGUCAUACAAUGGCCGGUACAGAGGGUAGCCAACCCGCGAGGGGGAGCCAAUCCCACAAAGCCGGUCGUAGUCCGGAUCGCAGUCUGCAACUCGACUGCGUGAAGUCGGAAUCGCUAGUAAUCGCGGAUCAGCAUGUCGCGGUGAAUACGUUCCCGGGUCUU
rnacentral:rRNA from 1 species